AGAACGAACGCUGGCGGCAGGCUUAACACAUGCAAGUCGAACGCUCGGGAGCAAUUCCGGGAGUGGCAGACGGGUGAGUAACACGUGGGAACAUACCCUUCGGUACGGAACAACUUGGGGAAACUCGAGCUAAUACCGUAUACGACCUUUUGGUGAAAGAUUGAUCGCCGGAGGAUUGGCCCGCGUCCGAUUAGCUAGUUGGUGAGGUAACGGCUCACCAAGGCGACGAUCGGUAGCUGGU
rnacentral:rRNA from 1 species